rnacentral:rRNA from 1 species
UACGGGGGGGGCAAGCGUUGUUCGGAAUUACUGGGCGUAAAGGGCUCGUAGGCGGCCAACUAAGUCAGACGUGAAAUCCCCCGGCUUAACCAGGGAACUGCGUCUGAUACUGGAUGGCUUGAGUUUGGGAGAGGGAUGCGGAAUUCCAGGUGUAGCGGUGAAAUGCGUAGAUAUCGGGAGGAACACCAGUGGCGAAGGCGACUUUCUGGCCUGUUCUUGACGCUGAGGCGCGAAAGCUAGGGGAGCAAACGGG